AUUUUCGAAUGAGUGUUAGAAGUUUUGAUGAAUUACUUCGCAAUUUAGGACCUGCGUUGACAUACGAAAAUACAAACAUGAGAUUGUCUGUUCCGGCUGAAGAAAGACUCGCUGUUACUUUGAGAUAUCUUGCAACCGGCAACAGUUUUUACAGCAUAUCAUUUGAAUAUUUGAUAGGUGCCACCACUGCACGAGAAAUUGUAAAAUCUACAUGUUCUACGAUCUGGAAUUUACAUACACUAUACAUGCCUGAAAAGUCUGAAGAGGAUUGGUAUACUAUUUCAAAUCAGUUUUACCAACGGACAAAUUUUCCGAACAUAAUUGGCGCAAUUGAUGGCAAACAUGUGAGAAUAAUUCAGCCGGAAAACACCGGUACGCAGUGUUUCAAUUACAAAAAGUACUUUUCUACUGUUCUCAUGGCAUGGGUAGAUGCAGAUUAUAAAUUUGUAUACAUAGAUGUUGGUGCUAAUGGAGCAGCAAGCGACUCCAAUGUAUUUCAGAAUUCUGGCAUGGGCAAAAGAUUGCAGCAAAAUCAAUUGAGCAUACCAGAUGAUCGUAAUUUGCCAUAUGAUGAAAAUGGAAAAAAAAUUUUGUUUGGUCGCUGAUGAGGCAUUUGGCUUGUCGAGGCAUAUUUUGCGACCAUAUUCAAGAAAAUCAUUGUCUACUGUAAAAAAAAUUUACAACUAUCGCCACACUAGGGCACGACGCAUGGUUGAAUGCACUUUUGGUAUACUUUGUAACAAAUGGCGAAUUUUGCACAGGCCGAUUGACGUCAGUCUUGAUUUUGCUGAUAUAAUAGUAAAAACAUGUUGUAUUUUACAUAAUUUUGUACGGUGCAGAGAUGGCAUUCAAUUUACUGACACUGUUUACGAUUGUCCAUUAAAAGGUAUUGCAACAAAUCCAUCAGACAGAACCAUAUCAGCAGCAAAUAUACGUAAUUAUUUUGCGAAUUACUUUACUUCACCACAAGGGGCUGUGUCAUGGCAGUAUGACAAAAUCUGAAUUUCACCUUUUUGUACAACUGUUGUUUUAGCUACAAAUACUAAAAAUAAAAAGAUACUCACCA